rnacentral:rRNA from 1 species
GACGAACGCUGGCGGCGUGCUUAACACAUGCAAGUCGAACGGGGCGAAGUGAUAGCUUGCUAUUAUGGAGCCUAGUGGCAAACGGGUGAGUAACGCGUAGGCAACCUGCCCUUCAGAUGGGGGACAACACCUCGAAAGGGGUGCUAAUACCGAAUGACGUUUCCUGGUCGCAUGACCUGGAAACCAAAGGCCGGGCAACCGGUCACUGAAGGAUGGGCCUGCGUCUGAUUAGCUAGUUGGUGGGGUAACGGCCCACCAAGGCGACGAUCAGUAGCCGGUCUGAGAGGAUGAACGGCCACAUUGGGACUGAGACACGGCCCAAACUCCUACGGGAGGCAGCAGUGGGGAAUCUUCCGCAAUGGGCGCAAGCCUGACGGAGCAACGCCGCGUGACGUGAAGAAGGUUUUCGGAUCGUAAAGCUCAGUUGAGAGGGACGAGAGAUAUAAUCAGGAAAUGGGUUAUAGAGGACGGUACCUUUCGAGGAAGCCACGGCUAACUACGUAGCCAGCAGCCG